GAUGAAGAACGUAGCGAAAUGCGAUACUUGGUGUGAAUUGCAGAAUCCCGUGAACCAUCGAGUCUUUGAACGCAAGUUGCGCCCGAAGCCAUUAGGCCGAGGGCACGUCUGCCUGGGCGUCACGCAUCGCGUCGCCCCCCACAACUCUCCGUAAAGGGAACUUGUGUUUUGGGGGCGGAUAUUGGUCUCCCGUGCUCAUGGCGUGGUUGGCCGAAAUAGGAGUCCCUCCGGUGGACGCACGAACUAGUGGUGGUCGUAAAAACCCUCGUCUUUUGUUUCGUGCCGUUAGUCGCGAGGGAAACUCUUUAAAAACCCAAAUGUGUCGUCUCUUGACGGCGCUUCGACCGCGACCCCAGGUCAGGCGGGACUACCCGCUGAGUUUAAGCAUAUCAAUAAGCGGAGGA
rnacentral:misc_RNA from 1 species